GUUCAAAACGGAUUUUAAAAAAAAAAAAAAAAAAAAAAAAAAAAUUCAAGAAAUAGCAAAAACGGAAAGAGGAAAAAGAAAAAAACAAAAAAAGAAACACGCACUCAUAGCAACAUCAUAAAAUAUUUAUAAAAAAAUGAGCAGUUUAAUUGAUUAUUCUAAAUUCGAUAAAAUUGACACAAGUUCAUCAUCAGAUAGUGAUAAUGACAAAAAUAAAAUAUUAAAACCACAGAUAACUACUUUAAAUGAAAAGGAUAAAGUCGUCAUAGGACCUGAUGGAUUAACCAUACUAAAAGAAACCAGUAAUAUGAAAGAACAUAAUUAUGUAAUGAAAACUGUAGAACAACCACAAAAUAUAAAUCCUAUCGAUAAUAAACAUUUAGAUUAUAUAAAAAAAAGUGAUAAAUGUGAUAAUAAUGAGAACAAAAAUGAUUUACAUAAUAAUAAUUUAAAAAUAAAGGAUUUAGAAAAUUUAAAUAGUAUGAAGAACAUGAUAAUAAAUGGAGGAGUUGUUCCUUAUAAAUAUAUAUGGAAUCAAUCUAAAUAUGACGUUAAUGGUUAUAUUGCUUUACUAUUACAUACUAAAGCCAAAUCAUUAUCUAUUCAUAUUUAUGAAGAUAAGUUGAUUGUUAAAAAAAAUAAAGAACAAACUAUAACCGAUAACAACAAAAAACUAGUAAAAACAGAAUCUGAUCAACAUGAUAUAUUAAUUAAUAAAAAUUUUCCAUAUAAAAUAAAUAUGAAUGAAGAUACACAAUUGUGGGAGAUAAAAAAUGUGAAAAUAAAUUGGUAUAAGCUUUUUCAUUUAGCUAAUGAAAUAAAUAAUCAAAAUAUAUCAUUUGAUUUUGGUUCAAAUGUAAAUGAUAAAGAAGAAACCUUUUUAUAUAUUUCUUUAAAAAAACAAAACGAAAUUAAAAAUUCUUAUAUUUGGUGGUCAUGUUUAUUUGAACAUGAUGAACAAAUCGAUUUAUCUAAAUUACCAUCUCGUGUUUCAAAUAGUAAAAAUAAUAAAAAAAAUGAUAGUAAUACAUCAUUUAAAAAUAUAUGGAAUGAGGCUCAUCAAAUUUUUAAAAAAAACAUAUCAAAAAAGGUUUUACCAUUUCCCGUUGAUUUGUGAGUGCACACAUAUAUACAUAUAUAUAUAUAUAUAUAUAUAUAUGUGCUACCAAGCAAACAUUAAAAAAAAAAAAAAAAAACUGUUACCCUUUAAACAAAAAAUUAUUAAUAUUUAAAUUUUGACCAUAUAGAACGAAAUAAAA
rnacentral:lncRNA from 1 species